GACAACGCUAUGCAGCAUGAGAAUAACGGCGACGAUUCAACAAUGGGCAGUGAUUCCAACGGAGUGAGCAGCCUAUGUUCUAGAACGCUGACAUCUCCGCAACCAGCCACUCUGGGUGAUCGAAGUGGACAAGUGAAAGAUCUGCAUGAGGUAGACGAUGGAGGUGAUUACAGUGGAGACUGUGCAACCACUGUGUGUGAUCCAUGCGAUGUAAAUCACUUGAUCAGUGAUGAUGAAAACACAACAGAUUUUGACAGUUGUGAUGACACAACUGACCUUACAACUAUGGGUACUCAACACGAUACUAUGAACAGCGUGACACAGGCCGUGUUUCCAUCUGAAUGUAACAGUGAAGUGGGUGAUGUGGUUGAUGGCAAGGACAAUGAAGAACCUCUCAAUGGAAACCUGUCAACUGAUGCCGACACAAGCAGAACACAGCUUGGAGAUUUGUUUCAGGAGGUCUUGAACGAAAAGCUUGUCGUUCCCAAAGGCGAGAUGCUUUUAAUGGUAUUUAAACAUGCCGUAAAAAGUAAUUUGUCCUUUACACCAA